AUGGCUGGUCCUCGUAUAUUUUGGUACAUUCACAAACUCCUGUAUCUUAGCUUUCACUGGACGUCUGACAAGGCAAAUCAUCUUCGUUUGACAAAGAAGAAUCUGCCAAAAAGGGGACUUGCUUCUUUCAAGUUUGUGUGCUUGUCUUGGGGGAGAGCAAAGAAAAGGAAAGGAAAAGGAGAGCCAUGGAGACUAUUCAAUGCAGCCACCAAGCUUUGGAAGAAAACCCCUGAAGACAGUACAAAGUGCGGCCACCACAAGCAAUGUGAGUGUCUAGAUCAGGGUUUUUCAGUGUACACACUGCUAACCACCAGUUUAGGAUCAUCUGAUUUAUUAAAAAUGAAGAUUUCUAGAUUACCUUGGACCAACCGAAUGGAAUCUCUGGGCGAGGGAACUUGCAGUUUUGUUAAGUAUGCAAGGUGCUUUGUGAAGCAUCUCCCUUUGAGACCCACUGCCACUGGCCCCAGGUCAAGGAAAGAAAGAAAAUAUUGGGGAGUGGGUGCUGGCUUCUGAGAAAGCACCCAUGACUGAAGGGUGGAAAAGCAUGGCAUAACACGCGCAUACAUUGCUGUAGGAGUGAAAAGGAAGGGGAGGGAGGGUGUGUGAGGUACAACUAGAGUAUAGGGUGCACAGAACAGGGAUCAGGAUGCAGGUUUGCUCUGGGAAUCAUGAGCCUCGAUGAUAACUGAGACCAUGGGGAUGGAUUAGGUUUCUGCUAAUGCCAGAAUUUUUGCAAUCAGCAUAAAAAAUGGUAUAGAAAGUCACCCCCCUCCCUUUUAUUAUAGUGCUUUUAAGAUUUAUAGAGUACCAACUACAGUGAGAACAUUGCAUUAGCAGCUGUCAAAGAAAACAAGAGCUUAUCAUGCACUUGAAGUUGAACCAAAACAAAAUCUGUAAUUUAUAUCUAAGAGUGACUACAAAGCAACAUACAAUAAGUGCAAAUUCAUUCAUUUAACAAAAACUCAUCGUGUCUGUUACGUGCAGGCUCCACAAAGGUGUGGUUUAUCAGAAGGUGACCUGGCGAGCUUAAAGGCAGAUUUUGAAAGAAAGUGAAAACAGAUUACAGAGAGUUUAAGGCACUCUAAAUAAGGAUUUAGAGUCACAGAGUUCAGAAGGAGGGGACGUAACUUCAUUCAUCCAACAUUCCAUAAAUAUUUAUUGAGUGCCUACUGUGUUGUAGACACUGGAAAUAUAGCAGUAAGUAAAACAGACGAAAAAAAAUCCCUGCCCUCCUGGAGCUUAAUAUUCUGGUAGGAGAAAGACAAGAAAACACAGUAAAUAAGUUAUAUAGUAUAUCAGGAAAUGGUAAGUGCUUUGGAAAAAAUAAAGCAGGAAGAAGGACAGAAUUUGGGGGUGAG
rnacentral:lncRNA from 1 species